rnacentral:rRNA from 1 species
UGGGGAAUCUUGCGCAAUGGGCGCAAGCCUGACGACGCAACGCCGCGUGGAGGAUGAAGACCUUCGGGUCGUAAACUCCUUUCGACCGAGAUGAACACUCACCGACCUAACACGUUGGUGAGCUGACAGUACCGAGGGAAGAAGCCCCGGCUAACUCCGUGCCAGCAGCCGCGGUAAUACGGGGGGGGCAAGCGUUGUUCGGAAUUACUGGGCGUAAAGGGUUCGUAGGUGGCCAACUAAGUCAGACGUGAAAUCCCUCAGCUUAACUGGGGAACUGCGUCUGAUACUGGUUGGCUUGAGUGCAGGAGAGGAACGCGGAAUUCCAGGUGUAGCGGUGAAAUGCGUAGAUAUCUGGAGGAACACCGGUGGCGAAGGCGGCGUUCUGGACUGCAACUGACACUGAGGAACGAAAGCCAGGGGAGCAAA